ensembl:snoRNA SNORA70 Small nucleolar RNA SNORA70
CUGCAGCCAAUUAAACCUACCAGGCUCUUUUUAGAUGUCCAAUGACUGUAAACAGCAGCUUCCUUAGUAGUAUAUGCAGUCUGUUGCUCAUAUGGCUUGCCCUAAGUACAUGGAGACGGAC